rnacentral:lncRNA from 1 species
GCCGCGGGCGCCGGCGCCGGGGGAGGGGUGGCCGGGGCCACGGCCGGCGGGGGAGACACCGGCGCCGGGGUCGGCGGCGGCAUCGUCGGGGGCGGGGACACCGGGGCCACGGGCGCGGGCAUCGGGGUGGCCGCCGGGGCCUGGGCCGCGGUGGCGGCGAACAGCAUGGUCAGGGCCAGAGCCACGAGCUGGAUGCGCGCCAUUGCAGGAGUGAAGAGGAGAGCUUGAGCUUGAGCUUGGGGUGGCUUCUGCUUCUGCUUGAGGUGGUGCUGGUGGUGGUGUGUACUGUAAUGGUGUCCGAGACGGUAUUGGGCCGGGAGAUUAUAAAGGGGCCGCGGACGGGGCCACGACGACGAAUUACAAGAUGUGUCAGGGGCCUUCCUGCUAAUUUGCGCGCCGGGUAGCCGUCCGAUCGACAUCCAACAGCUGGUCCGGGUGGAAAGCUUCAACUCUUUUUUCUUCUCCGAACUUCUGACUUCUGAACAGCAAGCAAGCAAGUUUUUUUCCAAACGAUCAGAAAAAAUCUAGUUCAAUCCCAACAGCUGGCGGACAUAAUUUCUUUCUUUUGGUUCAUGGAAAAUUCUCCCGCGAUCGCCUUGCCUAAUUCUGUUUCUCGUUAUGGUUCACGCGUGGUUCUGGUCGACGGUGAGCUGGGUUUCUCUUCCUGUUUUUGCCUUGCCUAAUUUUGUCUUCUGGACGAUCAAUGCAAAAUGGCAAGUAGCUAGUGAGCCAAUUGGCCCACGCGUUCGCAAUGUCCCUUACAACCACAAUAAAAUGUCAGACUUCAAAACAAUAUUACUUCGAAAGUCAAGGUCACGCGUAAAUGUGAAAUGGCAAGUUUCUUUUAGGGUUGUGUGAAAUACCAAGUGGUAUUUGCUAAUGAGCCGAUUGGCUCACGCGUUUGCGGAGUUAUUGCAUCAAGUUUUUCUUUACAAGGAUGAUAAAAAGUCAGAUUUCAAAAACAAAGUUACUUCCAAAGUCAAAGUGCUUUUUCUCGCAAUUACAUGGGCGACGCACGCGCAGACACGCAUGCGCCAACGUGAAAUAUCAAGAAGUAUUUGCUAGUGAGCCGAUUGGCUCACACGAUUGCGAUGUUUGUGCAUCGAGUUUUCUUUACAAGGAUAAUGGAGGUCCAUUUUCAACAGCAAGGUUGCCUCCAAGGUCAAGGUGCUUCUUUAUGCAGUUACAACACACACGUAGACACGCACACACGCACUCAGAACCUUAUAAAUUUGGAGAAUUUUUUUCCUUUUCUUUUUGAGGCAACCUUGCUGUUGAAAACUAAAGUUGAGAGAGAGUUUAGUCCCACCCUGAAAGUUGAGAGUUGCACCUCUUUAUAAAGUGAGCUCUUCUACCACUUGUAUGAGCAUGAGAAGAGGAGACCCAAUUCUCACAGACUACGACGUUAAUAGUCAAAUUCAUAUAGGUGUGUUCCUUAGAAGAUGUUCUGCAGGACAACAUCUCUGCUUACCCGAAUAAGCCACUUGGAACACAUUAAGAUAAGUAUCAACCUGCCAUGCAGAUCAAGAGAGUAUUGCAUCUUCACGGAGUGGGAUAAUUAAUAUAGGGAUACUCUCCUCCCAGCUGACCAACAGCUUGUCUCCCACUUCUACUUCACGGGAUCUCCGAUCAUAUAGAGUGGUUUACCACUAUGGACAACUCAUGCGGUGGGUCUCAAACCCAUCUCUAUCGAUGCAUCAUCUAUCACAUUACAUGAUAGACCAUUUGUGAAGGGAUCUGCCAAGUUUUUCGACGUUUGGAUAUAAUCCAACGUAAUAAAUCCGGAGUUCCUCAAUUUUCUGACAGAUUUUAGUCUCCUCUUCACAUGCCUUGAGGACUUCAUAUUGUCCUUAGAACUGUUUAUCUUGACGAUCACAGUUUGAUUAUCACAGUUCAUCAGGAUAGGGGGGAUUGGUUUUUCAACCAUAGGUAAGUCCAUCAAGAGUUCACGAAGCCACUCUGCUUCAACAGUGGCAGUGUCUAAUGCUGUGAGUUCUGCUUCCAUAGUUGACCUUGUUAAGAUGGUCUGCUCGCAAGACUUCCAGGAAACAGCACCACCACCAAGUGUAAAAACAUAACCACUUGUGGCCUUAAUCUCAUUAGCAUCAGAUAUCCAGUUUGAGUCACUAUAACCCUCCAGUACCCUUGGAUACCCGGUGUAGUGAAUCCCAUAGCUCGCGGUGCCUUUCAAAUAGCGCAUAACUCUCUUAAGCACAUGCCAAUGAUCAUCUCCCAGUUUUGACACAAACCAACUCAGCUUGCUCACAGCAAAAGAGAUGUCAGGCCUCGUGGCACUCGCCAAAUACAUAAGCGAGCCAAUAAUCUGAGAAUACCUCAGUUGAUCUCUAGCAAUCCGUCGAUUCUUUCGAAGCAACACACUAGCAUCAUAUGGAGUUGGAGAAGGCGUGCAGUCGCUAUACCCAAAACAACUCAAGACCUUUUCCACAUAAUGAGACUGAAGCAGUGUGAUCCCACCAUUCUCAUCUCUCAACAGCUUGAUGUUUAAGUUAACAUCAGUUACUCCUAGAUCCUUCAUCUCAAAACAGCGAGAUAAGAAAUCCUUAACCUCCUUGAUUAAAUCAAGUUUGGUUCCAAAGAUCAAUAUGUCGUCGACAUACAGACAAAGAAUAACUCCUUCGCCCCCAUGCUACGUCUCGAGCUAGCGUUGGUUUUCUCCGAAGAGGAGGGGGUGAUGCAGCACAGUAGCGUAAGUAUUUCCCUCAGUUUUUGAGAACCAAGGUAUCAAUCCAGUAGGAGGUCACGCGCAAGUCCCUCGUACCAACACAAAACGGUAGCAACUCGCAACCAACGCUUAGGGGUUGUCAAUCCCUUCACGGUCACUUACGAGAGUGAGAUCUGAUAGAGAUAAUAUUUUUGGUAUUUUUGGUAUAAAGAUGCAAAGUAAAAAGUAAAAGCAAAACAAGUAAAAUAAAUUAAUGGAGAUUGAUAUGAUGAGAAUAGACCCGGGGGCCAUAGGUUUCACUAGUGGCUUCUCUCAAGAGCAUAGAUAUUCUACGGUGGGUGAACAAAUUACUGUUGAGCAAUUGAUAGAAUUGAGCAUAGUUAUGAGGUUAUCUAGUUAUGAUCAUGUAUAUAGGCAUCACGUCCGUGACAACUAGACCGACUCCUGCCUGCAUCUACUACUAUUACUCCACUCAUCGACCGCUAUCCAGCAUGCAUCUAGAAUAUUAAGUUAAAAACAGAGUAACACCUUAAGCAAGAUGACAUGAUGUAGAGGAAUAAAUUCAUGCAAUAUGAUAAAUACCCCAUCUUGUUAUCCUCGAUGGCAACAAUACAAUACGUGCCUUGCAACUCUUUCUGUCACUGAGUAAGGACACCGCAAGAUUGAACCCAAAGCUAAGCACUUCUCCCAUUGCAAGAACUACCAAUCUAGUUGACCAAACCAAACGGAUAAUUCGAAGAGACUUGCAAAGAUAACUCAAUUAUACAUAAAAGAAUUCAGAGAAGAUUCAAAUAUUAUUCAUAGAUAAGUUGGAUCAUAAACCCACAAUUCAUUGGUCUUAACAAACACACCGCAAAAAGAAGAUUACAUCGAAUAGAUCUCCACGAGAGAGGGGGAGAACAUUGUAUUGAGAUCCAAAAAGAGAGAAGAAGCCAUUUAGCUACUAGCUAUGGACCCGAAGGUCUGAAGUAAACUACUCACACUUCAUCGGAAGGGCUAUAGUGUUGAUGUAGAAGCCCUCCGUGAUGGAUGCCCUCUCUGGCAGAGCUCCGGAACAGGCCCCAAAAUGGGAUCUCGUGGAUACAGGAAGUUGCGGCGGUGGAAUUAGGUUUUUGGCUCCCUCCCUGGUCUAAUGGGGGUAUGUAGGUAUAUAUAGGAGGAAGGAGCACGUCGGUGGAGCUCCGAGGGGCCCACGAGGCAGGGGCGCACCCAGGGGGCGCCCUCCACCCUCGUGACCUCCCCGGAAACUUCUUGGAGUAGGGUCCAAGUCUACUGAAUCACGUUCGGUGAGAAGAUCACGUUCCCGAAGGUUUCAUUCCGUUUGGACUCCGUUUGAUAUUCUGUUUCCUAGAAAUACUGAAAUAGGAAAAAAACAGCAAUUCUGGGCCGGGCCUCCGGUUAAUAGGUUAGUCUUAAAAAUAAUAUAAAAGUGAAAAAUAAAACCCAAUAUAGUCCAAAAUAGUAGAUAAAGUAGCAUGGAACAAUCAAAAAUUAAAGAUACGUUGGAGACGUAUCAGACAUCCCCAAGCUUAAUUCCUGCUCGUCCUCGAGUAGGUAAAUGAUAAAAAGAGAAUUUUUGAUGCGGAGUGAUACUUUGGCAUAAUUUCAAUGUAAAUCUUCUUAAUCAUGGUAUGAAUAUUCAGAUCCGAAAGGUUCAAGACAAAAGUUCAUAUUGACAUAAAAAUGAUAAUACUUCAAGCAUACUAAUCAAACAAUUAUGUCAUCUCAAAAUAACAUGGCCAAAGGAAGUUCAUCCCUACAAAAUCAUAUAGUUAGGCUAUGCUUCAUUUUCGUCACACAAAGAUGUUCCCAACUUUUAUACCCCCGAUGACAAGCCAAGCAAUUGUUUCAUACUCAAAUAAUCUCAAACUUUUUCAACCUUCACGCAAUACAUGAGCGCGAGCCAUGGACAUAGCACUAUGGGUGGUAUAGAAUAUGAUGAUGGGGAUUGUGUGGAGAAGACAAAAAAGGAGAAAGUCUCACAUCAACGAGGCUAAUCAAUGAGCUAUGGAGAUGCCCAUCAAUUGAUGUUAAUGCAAGGAGUAGGGAUUGCCAUGCAACGGAUGCACUAGAGCUAAGAAUGCUCAACAAAAGAAAACUAGUGGGUGUGCAUCCAACUUGCUUGCUCAUGAAGACCUAGGGCAUUUUGAGGAAGCUCAUCGUUGGAAUAUACAAGCCAAGUUCUAUAAUGAAAAAUUCCCACUAGUAUGAAUAAGACAACUUAUGAGACUCACUAUAUGAAAAUCAUGGUGCUACUUUGAAGCACAAUAUAUGAGACUCACUACAUGAAGAACAAGGUGCUACUUUGAAGCACAAGUGUGGAAAAAAGAGAUAGUAGCAUUGCCCUUUUUAUUUUCUCUUUUUUGGGGGGCCUUUCUUUUUUUUUUUGGCCUUUCUCUCUCUUUUUUUGAUUGGGCAAUGCUCUAAUAAUGAUGAUCAUCACACUUCUAUUGAUUACAACAUAAUGAUUACAACUCGAUACUAGAACAAGAUAUGACUCUAUAUGAAUGCCUCCGGUGGUGUACCAUGAUGGUGCAAUGAAUCAAGAGUGACAUGUAUGAAAAAUAAUGCAUGGUGGCUUUGCCACAAAUACGAUGUCAACUACAAGAUCAUGCAAUGACAAUAUGACAAAAGUAAAGCAUGUCAUGAUGAUGAUGAUGAUGAUGGAAGUUGCAUGGCAAUAUAUCUCGGAAUGGCUAUGGAAAUGCCAUGAUAGAUAGGUAUGGUGGCUGUUUUGAGGAAGGUAUAGGGAGGUUUAUGUGUGAAAGAGCGUGUCAUAUCAUGGGGUUUGGAUGCACCGGCGAAGUUUGCACCAACUCUCAAUGUGAGAAAGGGUAAUGCACGGUACCGAAGAGGCUAGCAAAUGGCGGAAAGGUAAAAGUGCGUAUAAUCCAUGGACUCAACAUUAGUCAAAAGAACUCAUAUACUUAUUACAAAAAUUUAGAAGUCAUCAAAAAUCAAGCACUACGCGCAUGCUCCUAGGGGGAUAGAUUGGUAGGAAAAGACCAUCGCUCGUCCCCGACCGCCACUCAUAAGGAUGCACAAGCCAGGUACACUUCAUGCUUUAAAUUUGUUACACAAUUUUAACCAUACGUGCAUGCUACGGGACUUGCUAACUUCAACACAAGUAUUUCUCAGAUUCACAACUACUCAACUAGCACGACUAUGAUAUUAUCACCUCCAUAUCUCAAAACAAUUAUCAAGUAUCAAACUUAUCUUAGUAUUCAACCCACUAAAAAGAAAGUUUCACAUAUCUUGAAUACCAAGUAUAUUAACAUUAAGCAAAUUACCAUGCUAUUAACGACUCUCAAAAUAAUCUAAGUGAAGCAUGAGAGAUCAAGUUUCUUUAAAACAAACCACCACCGUGCUCUAAAAGAUCUAAGUGAAGCACUAGAGCAAAAAUUAUCAUGCUCAAAAAGAUAUAAGUGAAGCACAUAGAGUAAACUAUCAAGCUCAAAAGAUAUAAGUGAAGCACAUAGAGUAUUCUACCAAAUUUCAAUUCAUGCAUGGCUCUCUCAAAAGGUGUGUACAGCAAGGAUGAUUGUGGUAGACUAACAAGAAAAGACACAAAUAAUACAAGAUGCUCCAAGCAAAACACAUAUCAUGUGGUGAAUAAAAAUAUUGCUCCAAGUAAAUUACCGAUGGAAGUGGACGAAAGAGGGGAUGCCUUCCGGGGCAUCCCCAAGCUUUGACUUUUUGGUAUCGUUGGAUUAUCUUGGGGGUGCCAUGGGCAUCCCAAGCUUAGGCUCUUGCCACUCCUUGUUCCAUAAUCCAUCAAAAGAAUUCACCCAAAACUUGAAAACUUCACAACACAAAACUCAAUAGAAAUCUCGUGAGCUCCGUUAGAGAAAGAAAAUAAAAGACUACUUUAAGGUACUGUAGUGUACUUGUUCUUUAUUUGUAUUGGUGUUAAACCUACUGUAUUCCAAUUUCUCUAUGGUUUAUAAACUAUUUUACUAGCCAUAGAUUUAUCAAAAUAAGCAAAUAACACACGCAAAACAGAAUCUGUCAAAAACAGAACAGUCUGUAGUAAUCUGUUACUAACGCAAACUUCUAGAACCCAAAAAAUUCUACCAAAAUUAGACGACCUGGGCAAUUUGUUUAUUGAUCAGCAGCAAUUGGAAUCACUAUUUUAUCACGUUCUGGUGAUUUUUGACAAUUCGGGCACUGAGCGCAAAGAUUCUGGAAAUUACAGCAAGAUCAAAUAACUAUCUUUCAAGAAGAUCUAAUAGGUUUAACUUGGCACAAACACUAAUUAAAAGAUAAAACCACAUCUAAACAGAAUAUAAAUGGAUUAUUUAUUCCUAAACAGAACCAAAAACAAAAAAUACAAAAUAAAAUUGGGUUGCCUCCCAACAAGCGCUAUCGUUUAACGCCCCUAGCUAGGCAUAAAAGCAAGGAUAGGUCUAGGUAUUGCCAUCUUUGGUAGGCAAUUCUUCAAUGAGGCAUCCACCUCCUUUAGAAUUUUCUUUCUUUCUAGUGAUUAUCAAACUUUUAGGCAUAAGAUCGAAAAAUUCAUCCGUGGCAAAUGGUUCCUUAAUGAGUGUAAAAAGAUCGGGGUGAAUACUUAUAGAUUUAAGAUCCGCAUUUUCCUUACUAGAUGAUUCACCCUUAUUUUUAGGAACAUACAUAAACUUGGCAAUUUUAGUGGGAGGACUAGGAGUAAUUUUUACGGAAGAAAAAGCAGUUCCCAAGUUGGUAAUGAUACCCUCAAGUUUAUCGAUUCGAGUAGAGUCUAGAUUUAUUUUUUUCAUUAACAAUGGGUUCCUUCUCCUUAAUAUUUUUCAAAGUCACUCCUACCUUAGAUCCAUAUUGAGUAAUUUGAUUAUGAAUCUUUUUAUCUAGAUUUUCAAUGGAUUCAAUGGUAGCAACUUUGUUUUCAAUAAUUUCAAGCAUUUGCAUAACAUGCUCCAAGGUUAACACAGUUCCAUUAACCAAAAGGGGAGGUGAGCCAAAUAAAUCUAUUAAAGCAUUAUAGGAAUCAAAAGUAUGGCUACCCA